rnacentral:rRNA from 1 species
UACGUAGGGUGCAAGCGUUGUCCGGAAUUAUUGGGCGUAAAGAGCGUGUAGGCGGCCCGACAAGUCCGCUGUGAAAGUCCAGGGCUCAACCCUGGAAUGCCGGUGGAUACUGUCGGGCUAGAGUCCGGAAGGGGCGAGUGGAAUUCCUGGUGUAGCGGUGAAAUGCGCAGAUAUCAGGAGGAACACCAAUGGCGAAGGCAGCUCGCUGGGACGCGACUGACGCUGAGACGCGAAAGCGUGGGGAGCAAACAGG